rnacentral:rRNA from 1 species
CCUACGGGGGGCAGCAGUGAGGAAUAUUGGUCAAUGGACGAGAGUCUGAACCAGCCAAGUAGCGUGAAGGAUGACUGCCCUAUGGGUUGUAAACUUCUUUUAUAUGGGAAUAAAAUGUUCCACGUGUGGGAUUUUGUAUUAACCAUAUGAAUACGGAUCGGCUAACUCCGUGCCAUCAGCCGCGGUAAUACGGAGGAUCCGAGCGUUAUCCGGAUUUUAUUGGUUUAAAGGGAGCGUAGGUGGAUUGUUAAGUCAGGUGUGAAAGUUUGGGGCUCAACCGUAAAAUUGCAGUUGAAACUGGCAAUCUUGAGUACAGUAGAGGUGAGCGGAAUUCGAGGUGUAGCGGUGAAAUGCGUAGAUAUAACGAAGAACUCCGAUGGCGAAGGCAGCUUACUGGACUGCAACUGACACUGAGGCACGAAAGUGUGGGUAUCAAACAGGAUUAGAUACCCCAGUAGUC